UUAAAGAGAUUUAUGUUAUUGUAUUUAAUUUCCUCCAGAUGUUCUUGCAAAGGAGGGAUUUGGAUUAACCUGGGAAGGUCAACAGCAAAGCAUGGUUUCCUGUUUUUAAAGUGAAGAUGUGCCUCUAUCUAGAACACAGAUGGAUGCGAUUAAGAGAGCAUUUAACUACAGGUUGGCUAUAGAAGACCUCGUGGGAGAGGAAACUCAUGACUGAUGCUCUGAUUUUCCUCAGUGAGGUCUAAUGGCUGCUCUUUAACUGGUCAUCGGUGCCAGAACCUCCUGGUCACUUGCUGGGAGCAAUGGGAAAAAAGAGUGGGACACUUUGAUUUUUUCUCAAAUGUUUUCUCCAAAAUUAAGGCACGUUCUUUCACUCUUUUCUGCUUAACAAAAGUUGAAAUACAAGUCUCCCUCUCCAAA
rnacentral:lncRNA from 1 species